rnacentral:piRNA from 1 species
UGCUUCUUUCUUUUUGUUCAUGAUCUU